UUUUAUCUGGGUUGCUAACUCAAUGGUAGAGUACUCGGAGUCCCGGGCAACCCAUAUGGAAA
rnacentral:tRNA from 1 species